ensembl:lncRNA
CAGGGACGGACGGGAGAGUGUUCUGUUCUUUUGCAUGUUUUUCUGUUGGGGUUCUUAUUGGAGGAAACCCCUUGUGAACACGGGGAGGACAUGCAAACUCCACACAGAAAGGCCCGGGGGAUAGCCCACUGAAUGUGGUGGUGGUGAAGACUAGAGCAGUUAGGGGUGGUGAAGACUAGAGCAGUUAGGGGUGGUGAAGACUAGAGCAGUUAGUGGUGGUGAAGACUAGAGCAGUUAGUGGUGGUGAAGACUAGAGCAGUUAGGGGUGGUGAAGACUAGAGCAGUUAGGGGUGGAGGUGAAGACUAGAGCAGUUAGGGGUGGUGAAGACUAGAGCAGUUAGGGGUGGUGAAGACUAGAGCAGCUAGGGGUGGUGAAGACUAGAGCAGCUAGAGGCUGGUGGUGGUGAAGACUAGAGCAGCCAGGGGUGGUGAAGACUAGAGCAGCUUGAGGCUGGUGGUGGUGAAGACUAGAGCAGUUAGGGGUGGUGGGCCCCUCUGAUAGCCCUCCUGCCAGGAGGAGAGCUGCUCCUGGAGUUUCUGUGAUCCGUAAUAUACAGUACAGGGCUUCCCUGCUGCCUCCCUCCUCUGAUAGUUCAAAGCUAGAGCAGAGAAAGUUUUCCAGAGGUUUUAUUUUAUUUUAUAGAAGGCAUACACCGAGGUAAGAUGAAAGCCACGUUUUCAGUCUACACACUUCAUUUCCCUCCAGAUAGAUGAGACUGAGCCACCGAACUGUACUUGAGUUUCAUGUCUUUAAAUCUCACAUAGCUCUCAAAAGAAGAUCACACAAAUGUAUAUGUUUCAUUAAAUGUGUAAGUGUGCAUAUAUAGAGAAGGAAAGUGAAUUAGGGAUUUAAAAUGGACUCCUCUCUGGCCCUGAUCUGUGUGUGUGAUCUUCUGUCGGUGUGUGUGUGUGUGUGUGUGUGUGUGUGUGUGUGUGUGUGUGUGUGUGUGUGUGUGUGAGCUUCUGUCGGUGUGGUGGUGCAUUAGCCGGUGCCACAGGGCUGUGUGCGUAAUAACCAGGCUGACGUGAGGUUCCUAG